rnacentral:rRNA from 1 species
ACGGGGGAUGCAAGCGUUAUUCGGAAUUAUUGGGCGUAAAGGGCGCGUAGGCGGUUUUGUCGGUCAGAUGUGAAAGCCCAGGGCUCAACCCUGGACGUGCAUUUGAAACAGCAAGACUUGAGUACGGGAGAGGAAAGCGGAAUUCCUGGUGUAGAGGUGAAAUUCGUAGAUAUCAGGAGGAACACCGAUGGCGAAGGCAGCUUUCUGGACCGAUACUGACGCUGAGGCGCGAAGGCGUGGGUAGCGAACAGGAUUAGAUACCCUGGUAGUCCACGCAGUAAACGAUGUACACUCGGUGUAGCGGAUAUUAAAAUCUGCUGCGCCCAAGCUAACGCAUUAAGUGUACCGCCUGGGGAGUACGGUCGCAAGACUA